ACUAUAAGAAUACAAUGCAAUAAUCAGAUAAUAGUGUAAAGAGGUCAUAUGGUAUACUUUCUUAUUUGUCUGCAAACCAAAAAAGUUUGCAAAUCUUGAUCGUGACAUUUUUAAUAGAAUAUGUGUACUGAAAAUUCAAAGGAAUUGUAAGUCAUGAUAUAGUGUAAUAUAAAUCGUGACAUUUUCUAAAUAGCGUCUACCAUUAAACAUUCCAAAUAAAGUGGUAAAACAUUGAAGAUAUACGUGAUUUAAUUUUAUGUUGGUAUAAAAAUAUCACAGGUACAGGUGAACGCACACAUCUCUGUCUGGCGUGUGAUUCAGCUGAAUGAUAAGCAGUUGUGUGAAACUAUACCUAUCCUUAAAAGCAAAGUGAAAAAUUUAGUGUUAUCAAUUCAAGACCAGAAACGGUGUUUCUGCAAACCCUGUGUUGUUCAGUUGAAGGUAUGUAAUUGAAACUUUGUACAAAUUGUUAGAAUUGAUUGACUUAUAAGUAAUAUUUCUCAUCCAUUGAGCAUUUGAUAUUUCAUUUCUUGCUGAUAAUAGUCUUAAUUUUGACCUGCUUGUAUACUGCAGAAUUAUAUUCAUAUGCAGACAUGUACAACCCAGCAGGCCGGCGACGUAUUUGCUACGUCGCUGUCAGGUCACAUUGAGGUCGCCAUGUCGCAGUCGCAGUGCGACGUUGUAUGGACGUGGCAGACAAGUCGCUUUCUGGUUUGGUUUUCCAUUCACAUGGCCACGUCGCUGCAACGUAGCUGUACUACAUCCAAAGGUCAGAGCAGGAAUUCCUGCAUUCAAACUCGGACUCUGUACAUAGCGGGCAGGAAGUUCCGCCACACUGCAGGAUAUAGAAGACUGUUCAUUUUACUCUUGUGACAAGACUACAGUUUUCUAAGAGGAGCUUCAAGCACAGAAACGGGUUGGCGGCAAUGACAUGCAUCAGACCAACUGUUGAGUUUUAACCCUUGGUCAUGGGUCAGUACAAUGUAAAAGGAAUUGGAAACAAGAGAAGCUUUUCUACAACAAGACUGUAGAAACUGAUCAGAGAGAUGCUACUUUGGCCAACUGUCCAACAUCUACUGAAACAGAUAUAGCAAGCUUCAUAGGUUAAUAUUUGAAACAAACAUGCUCCAAGAAAGCUCUUGAGGGAGCAUGAGAGAGCGGAAUGAGCAGCGAGGCAAGCCACAACAGCUGAUAAAUCGGAUUAAACUGUAUGGGGGGAGUGUGUGUAAGCGUGUGUGUGUGUGUGUGUUUGUGUGGUUAAUUUAGUCUGAUUAAAUAUUACUAAAACCCUU
rnacentral:lncRNA from 1 species